UUAACAAAAACAUGUCUUUUUGAGUUAUUUUUAAAGUCUGACCUGCCCACUGAAAAUUUUUAAAUGGCCGCAGUAUUCUAACUGUGCAAAGGUAGCAUAAUCAUUAGUCUUUUAAUUGAAGGCUGGUAUGAACGGUUGGACGAAGUAUAAGCUGUUUCAUAUAAAUUUUUAAUAGAAUUUUAUAUUUUAGUCAAAAAGCUAAAAUAUUAUUAAAAGACGAGAAGACCCUAUAAAUCUUUAUAUUUUAUUUUAUUUAAAUUUUUUGGGUUGAUUUUAUUUUUUUAAAAUGAGAUAUUUUGUUGGGGUGAUAUUAAAAUUUAAUGAACUUUUAAUUAUUUUUAGUCAUUAAUUUAUGAAUUGUUGAUCCAUUAAUAGUGAUUAUAAGAUUAAGUUACUUUAGGGAUAACAGCGUAAUUUUUUUGGAGAGUUCAUAUCGAUAAAAAAGUUUGCGACCUCGAUGUUGGAUUAAGAUAUAUUUUUAGGUGUAGCCGCUUAAAUGUUAAGUCUGUUCGACUUUUAAAUUCUUACGUGAUCUGAGUUC
rnacentral:rRNA from 1 species